rnacentral:lncRNA from 1 species
CCACGCGAGGGAUGAACGUGUCCACGCGAGGGAUGAACGUGUCCCACGCGAGGGAUGAACGUGUCCUACGCGUGGGAUGAACGUGUCCUACGGGAGGGAUGAACGUGUCCUACGCGUGUAGAGCAUCACAGCUGGAGCACUGUAGCAGACACCCGUGCUGUUGCCUGGCCAGUGGUUCCUAGUGACCUGGAGAGCUCAUCAAAUUAGAAGUGCCCCAUCUUGCCCCCUGAGAGUCAGCAUUAGGGGCUGUGGACUCUUGAUGAUUCGGACCUACCACCCCAACACUUCUGAGCCUGGGGGGCCCCCACCAUUCACUUCACAGAUGAGACCCAGGGAAAGAUGAAAAUGGCACCAAGAUAGGUUUUCUCAAAACGAAUAACCCAAAAGAGGCAGCUCGUAUUCCUUUCAUUUCUUGGGAUCCAGCUGGACAAGGCCAGGCAGGAGGUGGAGGAGGGGAGCCAUCUCUGUCCUCUGUAUCAUCUUUGUUGUCAUGACAACAGCAGCCAUGCUCUCUGGAGUGUUCCAGGUGCUGAUGCUUUACAGGGGCUUUCUAAUACCUCCAGACACUCUCUCAAGGUGGUUGCUACUCUCCCCACUUUAUGGAUGAGAAAAUUGAGGUUCAGAGCGGUUGGCAGACUGGCUCAGGGUCCCCCAGCAGAGGUAAGGCCAGGAUUUGAACCUGAACUAAUCCCCUUACAUCACACAGCCCCCGAGGUCCAGAACUGAAGUGACACCCUGAGCAUGGGGGAUGACCGGAGCUGAGGAGCACCCCCGUCCCCUCAUGAUUGUGGCAGGUCCCCAGGGCCAGAUUCUCAGCACUGGGCUCAGCAAAUGCUACUGGUUGGAAAGCCCAGGAGCCGGCCCUUCCCCAGAAGCCAGCUCCGGGGGAACUCACAGGGCUGCACCGUCCAGCCGACUGGACGGCAGGCCAUCAGCGAGCGCGUCCUCUUCCCAGCGAGCGGCGGCAGCGACAUUCCCGAGAGCCCGAGCUGUGGGUGCAUUCCCUCAGCUGCCCCUUUUUCCCCUCCAGGCCUCUCCAGGACUCACGCUCAGGCCCUCCCCUCCACGUCCAGGUCGUGCCUUGGCGUGCGGACAUCUGUGUGCAUCGUGGUGCCGGGAGCAGGGACUGUCUAGUGCGUGCCUCCUGGACACACAGCUGGACUGUGCUUCCCAGCCCCCGACCCCCUGGGAGCCUGGCCCAUCAAACCCUCCUCCCCUCCCUCCUUCCCUGGAUCCCAGGCCCCCCCCCCCCCCGGGAGAGUGGGGCCAUUUGCUGGAAGGAGCCUGGGCCCCUGCAUGACCGUGUGGAGCUGAGCAGCCACAGAGCCCACGUCAGGCUCAGGUGUGAGAGACAAGUAGAUGUCUACUGUGGGAAGUCACUGAGCUGUGCUGUGGUGUUUUUUGUUUUUUUUUUUUUUUUUAAUGUUUAGUUUGAGAGAGAGUAUGAGAGAGAGUGAGUGAGGAAGAGGCAGAGAGGGAGACAGAAUCCAAAGCAGGCUCCAAGCUCCAAGCUGUCGACAUAGAGCCUGACACGGGGCUCAAACCCACAAACCGUGAGAUGCUGACCUGAGCCGAAGUCAGAUGCUUAACCAACUGAGCCAUCCAGGCACCCCGACGUGCUGUGGCUUGUUAGCUUGCUGGAGCUUCCAGGGCUGGGACGAGGCAGCUAGAACAAGGGCUACCCAGGGCAGUGGCAGCUUCCUGUGGCCUCACAAGCAGCAGGGGCCUCAGCCCAGGAAGGAGAGAUGGUGGAUGCUUCUUUAGGGGGGCCCCCGAGGACCCCCAGAACCACCAGCAUCCUUAGUGGGGAGGGGGAUGGGUCCCACAGUACGCAUGAGGCGGGGGGGCCAGGGCUCUCUGCAAGCAAGCAGCCGCAGCCCCGGGGACCAGGAGGCUGAGAGGUAGUGUUCCCCCCUCAACCCCAAAGCCUUCCUCUGAAUGCCUCGGAGAAAACGGCCACUUGGUCCCCUGUUGUCCGCGAAGAUGUGGCAGAGUCUUGCAUUGGGAGCCUGAGAAAUCUGGAUUUGAAUUCCCUGCUCCACAACCAACUCACUCUGGACACGAACUCUUGAUGUCUGCCUCCACAUGGCUUUACUCGGUGUCUGUGUGUAAAUGCAUGCAUCCAGGCCUCUUCUCUUUUAAGGACACCACUCACUGAGCCAAGAGUUAAAUCACUGCCCUGUCGCACCAACCUGUGGAUGGGAUUGGUGGCCCGGUGAACCACGGCCUUCUGGUGUUCAUGCCCUCCCGUGGUCUUCCUCCCGCUGGAGCCGACCCUGUGACUAGAACGUGCCACAUCC